rnacentral:rRNA from 1 species
UGCGUAGGCGGAAUGAUAAGUUAGUGGUGAAAGCCCCCGGCUCAACCGGGGAAUUGCUUGGCGAACCGCGUUUCUUGAGAUGAGUAGGGGCUGUCGGAACGCUAGGUGGAGUGGUGAAAUGCGUUGAUAUCUAGCGGAACGCCAAAGGAGAAAUCAGGCAGCUGGGCUCAUUCUGACGCUGAGGUACGAAAGCGUGGGGAGCGAACAGGAUUAGAUACCCUGGUAGUCC